rnacentral:rRNA from 1 species
UACGGGGGGGGCAAGCGUUGUUCGGAAUUACUGGGCGUAAAGGGCUCGUAGGCGGCCAACUAAGUCAUACGUGAAAUCCCUCAGCUUAACUGGGGAACUGCGUGUGAUACUGGAUGGCUUGGAUUUGGGAGAGGGAUGCGGAAUUCCAGGUGUAGCGGUGAAAUGCGUAAAUAUCUGGGGGAACACCGGUGGCGAAGGCGGCAUCCUGGACCAAUAUUGACGCUGAGGAGCGAAAGCCAGGGGAGCAAACGGG